AUUGAACGCUAGCGGGAUGCCUUACACAUGCAAGUCGAACGGAGUGGCGAACGGGCGAGUAAUGUAUCGGAACGUGCCCAGUAGCGGGGGAUAACUACGCGAAAGCGUAGCUAAUAACGCACACUAUUGGAGCGGCCGAUUUCGGAUUAGCUAGUUGGUGGGGUAACGGCUCACCAGGGCGCCGAGCCGUAGCUGGUUUGAGAGGUCGACCAGCCACACUGGGACUGAGACACGGCCCAGACUCCUACGGGAGGCAGCGGUGGGGAAUUUUGGACAAUGGGGGAAACCCGGAUCCAGCCAUCCCGGGUGUGCGAUGAGGGCUUGCGGGUUGUAAAGCACUGUUGGCAGGAAAGCGGUACCUGCAGAAUAAGCACCGGCUAAGUACGUGCCAGCAGCCGCGGUAAUUC
rnacentral:rRNA from 1 species